GCACUGAUGAUUCAGGGGUAGAAUUCUCACCUUCCAUGUGGGAGACCCGGGUUCGAUUCCCAGCCAAUGUA
rnacentral:tRNA from 1 species